GGCUACGGCUCAGUGGCAGAGUCUAUGUUUUGGGUGCAUAAGGAUGCCAGGUUCGAUCCCUGACAUCACCA